rnacentral:rRNA from 1 species
AUUGAACGCUGGCGGCAGGCCUAACACAUGCAAGUCGAACGAGUGGCGGACGGGUGAGUAAUGUCUGGGAAACUGCCCGAUGGAGGGGGAUAACUAAUGGAAACGGUAGCUAAUACCGCAUCCCAUCGGAUGUGCCCAGAGGGGAGGAGAUAGUAGGUAGGGUAAGGGAUCAACUAGGCGACGAUCCCUAGCUGGUCUGAGAGGAUGACCAGCCACACUGGAACUGAGACACGGUGCAGACUCCUACGUGAGGCAGCAGUGGGGAAUAUUGCAAAAGGGGCGCAAGCCGGAUGCAGCCAGGCCGCGUGUAUGAAGAAGGCCUGAGGGGUGGAAAGUACUUUCAGCGAGGAGGCGUUACUCGCAGAAGAAGCACCGGCUAACUCCGUGACAGCAGCCGCGGUAAUUC